GAGUCCCACUGAUAAACUCAGCAAGAAUGAGUGAAAUCGUUAAAUCCCAGAAGAUACAUGUCACCUGCAUCCAGGAUCCACAAGGGAUCCAGCUUUACCUGCAGACGGGAAAUGUCCUGAAGGGAGGUCACCGUCUGCCCACGUACCGCUGUGCCCGAGGUUCUACGUCACUGGAGUCUUUUCAUCUUCACCUGAACCGUUUCAUCCCUGGUAAACAUUGUCAUACUUUAUUUGUUUUUGUUUUUCUUACAAAAGUAUUUUGUGACGACACUGAAAUAUAACAUGACGGAUCCUAAAGAAUCAGAUUAAUUGCAAGUCUUCUAAUGAUUAUAAACAGAAAUAUGUUGUUGGAACAAUAUGUAUGAUGAAUAUUUUUUUAUUCUCUGUUUUCUGAAUUACUUUAUAGGGACCCUGGCAAGUGAUGUCUUCUUCCAGGCCUAUCUUUUGGAUGGGCUAUCAAGUUGGAAUGAGGACCGGGCUGUGGCAGCAUCAAAGGAUGAGCAGUCGUGCUCAUACAACCAUCUGCUCCGUCAUGCUGCUAACACCCUAGCAGAGGAGGUUCUGGGCGAAAAGAUCAUCCCUUAUGUCGGGCCAAGACAAUACACAGGUGAGCUUAUAGGUGUGGAAUACCUCUAUCAGCAAACUGGCAAAGUUCUGCAGGACUACAAAGUGGUCAUUGAAGAGUCUGAGACCACUGAAGUUGAGAUAGAUGAGGGCUUCACAGGACAUGACAGUACCCACACUAGAGGCAGAGCAAGCACUUCUCGCCUCACAAGCAUCUGCAGCUGUUCCUGGUUCCUCAGCAGCUCCAUCUCCUCAGGCUACUGCCUUUGUGCCUCCCAUUCCCCCCGUUAUCCCUCUGUUGCCAGUGACUCAGUCACAUGUCGCCUCAUCAUCAGCUUCUGCAGCUCCUUCACCUGCUGUGACCGCUCUGCUCCCCCAUUCCACACAAACAGUUUCUCCUGCAGAACAGUCUAGUGAGUUUUACACAACUGUUUCUAAAAUCUCACGUUUUGCUUAUUUUUUAAAAUUUAAAA
rnacentral:lncRNA from 1 species